AGAGUUUGAUCCUGGCUCAGGAUGAACGCUAGCGGCAGGCUUAACACAUGCAAGUCGAGGGGCAGCGGGGUAGUGCUUGCACUACUGCCGGCGACCGGCGCACGGGUGAGUAACACGUAUGGAACCUGCCCGCAGCAGGGGGAUAAGCGGAAGAAAUUCCGUCUAAUACCGCGUAACAACGUUGGGAGGCAUCUCCCGAUGUUUAAAGAUUUAUCGGCUGCGGAUGGCCAUGCGGCGCAUUAGCUAGUCGGCGGGGUAACGGCCCACCGAGGCGACGAUGCGUAGGGGUUCUGAGAGGAAGGUCCCCCACACUGGUACUGAGACACGGACCAGACUCCUACGGGAGGCAGCAGUGAGGAAUAUUGGUCAAUGGCCGAGAGGCUGAACCAGCCAAGUCGCGUGAAGGAUGACGGCCCUACGGGUUGUAAACUUCUUUUGUCAGGGAGCAAUUGGGUCCACGUGUGGGCUUAGCAAGUGUACCUGAAGAAAAAGCAUCGGCUAACUCCGUGCCAGCAGCCGCGGUAAUACGGAGGAUGCGAGCGUUAUCCGGAUUUAUUGGGUUUAAAGGGUGCGCAGGCGGUCUGUUAAGUCAGCGGUCAAAGCCCGGGGCUCAACCCCGGCCCGCCGUUGAAACUGGCAGUCUCGAGUUGGAGAGAAGUAUGCGGAAUGCGCGGUGUAGCGGUGAAAUGCAUAGAUAUCGCGCAGAACUCCGAUUGCGAAGGCAGCAUGCCGGCUCCACACUGACGCUGAGGCACGAAAGCGUGGGUAUCGAACAGGAUUAGAUACCCUGGUAGUCCACGCAGUAAACGAUGAAUGCUGGCUGUCCGGGGGGAUUGACCCCUGGGUGGCGAAGCGAAAGCGAUAAGCAUUCCACCUGGGGAGUACGCCGGCAACGGUGAAACUCAAAGGAAUUGACGGGGGCCCGCACAAGCGGAGGAACAUGUGGUUUAAUUCGAUGAUACGCGAGGAACCUUACCCGGGCUCAAACGGGGAGUGACUCAGGCAGAGACGCCUGUUUCCCACGGGACACUCCCCGAGGUGCUGCAUGGUUGUCGUCAGCUCGUGCCGUGAGGUGUCGGCUUAAGUGCCAUAACGAGCGCAACCCCCGCGUGCAGUUGCUAACAGAUAACGCUGAGGACUCUGCACGGACUGCCGGCGCAAGCCGCGAGGAAGGCGGGGAUGACGUCAAAUCAGCACGGCCCUUACGUCCGGGGCGACACACGUGUUACAAUGGGUGGUACAGCGGGAAGCCAGGCGGCGACGCCGAGCGGAACCCGAAAUCCACUCUCAGUUCGGAUCGGAGUCUGCAACCCGACUCCGUGAAGCUGGAUUCGCUAGUAAUCGCGCAUCAGCCAUGGCGCGGUGAAUACGUUCCCGGGCCUUGCACACACCGCCCGUCA
rnacentral:rRNA from 1 species